UAUUUACAAAAGAUAUUUAGUUGUCUUUUUUUUUUUUUUGAGCUCUUAACUUUUAAAAAUUGCACAUCCACUGAAAAAUUCCUAAAUCCGCCGAUGCACCAUACCUUUACACCUUAUGAAGAGGUAAAACCACCAUGAGAAGAAUCCUCACCAUCUUCUAUGCAAAGAAUAUGUAUAUGCAUUGGUCAAUGAGUUUAAAGCUCAACUUUUGAUUUGAGCAUUUGUCCGCAAUGUCCAAAAGUGCAUUUUUCACAUAUGUGGUUGAUGGCUUCUUGUCAUUGGAGGUUCAGAAGAGAAAUUGAUGAACCUAAUACAAUUGAUGGAGAAGUAUAUGUAAUUCUUUUUGUCCCGCUCUCAUUUCUUUUCUGUUUCUAUUGGAUCUGUUGUUGGUUCGUCAUUUUUUAUUAAUUAAGCAAAUAUUUCUCAAUAAUAUGUGGUGAUGGGUUUGCUUAAUCAAGUAAGAACACAUAAAAGUCAACCCUUAAAUGAUCAAUUGACAGAGACCCGAUCUAAAUUCUGCUUUGGAAUCCGAACCAGAUUCUGUACGUGUCCGACACCUGGCGAAUGUCAGGCACAAAUGACCUAUUUUUCCUUCUACACAAAACAUGAUAAAAUAACAAGG
rnacentral:lncRNA from 1 species